rnacentral:rRNA from 1 species
AGCUCCAAUAGCAUAUACCAAUUCUGCUGCUGUUGAAAAGCUCGUAGUUGGAUCUUACCCAAGAGCGCGGUCCGUCUCCAUGACUGGUACUGUGUCUCGAGGGAGCUUUUGUUGGUCUUCUCAUGGUGCUCUUAAUUGAGUGUCUUGGGUGGCUGACGGAUUUACUUUGAAAAAAUUAGAGUGCUCAAAACAGGCGGUACUGCCCGAAUAGUGGUGCAUGGAAUAAUGGAAUAGGAUCUCGGUUCUAUUUUGUUGGUUUUAGGAGCUGAGAUAAUGAUUAAGAGAGACAGACGGGGGCAUUUGUAUUGCGGCGUUAGAGGUGAAAUUCUUGGAUCGCCGCAAGACAAACAAUUGCGAAAGCAUUUGCCAAGAAUGUUUUCA